GCCAGAGAAUUGCGUGACAAUUACCUUGGUCCUUGCAGCAAGUCCGAUGAACGAAAGCUAGCGAGCUAACCCACUAUGUAGCUAACUAGCCCGCUGCGUUGCUAAGUAACCAACUAGCUUAGAAAGAGGAAGGCCUUUAGCUCUCCGUUGGACGGAAGCCGGAUAGGACUUGAGCUUUCCGUUGGACGGAAGCCGUUUAUAUGAACCUCCUCUGAGGUAUUUUAGUUCUCUCGUGGCAGCAUGGCAGCACAGAUGAAUCCCGGCUGUCUUCUCCAAGCUAAACCUCAUGGCAGCAAAUGUGACCCGAGCGGGGCAGUUUGUCUAAAAGAAGGCUAACCGGUCACCAAAGAGAAAUCAAGCAAUGAGCUGAGACCGUGAGCUGGACGUUGCAGAUCGAAGACCCUCGAGCUGCCUGACUUUAAUCUCAGUGAUGAGUCCUGAGGUUAAAGUUCACAGCCUCGCCAGGUGCGAGAACUGGGACGAACGGGCAGAGUAAAAGCUUCAGAGCUGGCUGGCCAAGGUUUUAAAGCCCUAAGUGUGGUGUUCCUGUUGACCAGGACCUCGCUUGGUUUGGGCACUGGCCGACUCGGCAAACUGGGGGCAAAGUAAGUCGUCGAGAUCCUGCUGAUGACUGACCUACAGAUGUGGGUUAUUUUAAAGGCGUCUUAUUCACGUCAUCGCUGGACAGAAAGCUGCUUUCCUCAAGCUAACAGAACCGACGUGAAUGAAGAAACUGCAGUUUUUAAGUUAUAAUGGAAAUAUUGCAUCAGAAUGUAAAGUUGUGUCUGAAUAAACCAGCUGAAAACUG